AGAGUUUGAUCCUGGCUCAGAACGAACGCUGGCGGCGUGGAUUAGGCAUGCAAGUCGAGCGAGAAAGUUGGCUUCGGUCAGCGAGUACAGCGGCGAACGGGUGAGUAACAGGUGGGUAACGUGCCCUAGAAGUGGGGGAUAACCUCGAGAAAUCGAAGCUAAUCCCGCAUGUGGCGUCUCGAACACAAGUAUGAGACGUUAAAGGCUUGGUCUUCGGAUCAAGUCGCUUCAGGAGCGGCCCGUCCCCGAUUAGCUUGAUGGUGAGGUAACGGCUCACCAUGGCAACUAUCGGUAGCUGGUCUGAGAGGAUGGUCAGCCACACUGGGACUGAGAUACGGCCCAGACUCCUACGGGAGGCAGCAGUCUAGAGGCAUCGGCAAUGGGGGAAACCCUGACCGUGCGACGCCGCGUGUGGGAUUGAAGGCGUUACGCGUUGUAAACCACUGUUCUAGGGAAAGAAUGCCCUGAUGGCGAAUCAGGGAGUGACGGUACUCUAGAAGAAAGCCCCGGCUAACUCCGUGCCAGCAGCCGCGGUAAUACGGGGGGGCAAGCGUUGUUCGGAUUUACUGGGCGUAAAGAGAGCGUAGGCGGUUGAUCAAGUCCGGUGUGAAAGCCAUAGCGCUCAACGCAUGGACGUCACUGGAAACUAGUCGACUGGAGUAGGGUAGAGGCAAGCGGAGUUGGUAGUGUAGCGGUGGAAUGUGUAGAUAUUACCAAGAACAUCGGUGGCGAACGCGGCUUGCUGGGCCCUCACUGACGCUGAGCUCGAAAGCGUGGGGAGCGAACGGGAUUAGAUACCCCGGUAGUCCACGCUGUAAACGAUGUGCACUAGGUGUGGGGGGUAUCGACCCCUUCCGUGCCGCCGCUAACGCAAUAAGUGCACCGCCUGGGGAGUACGA
rnacentral:rRNA from 1 species